UACGUAGGGCGCAAGCGUUGUCCGGAAUUAUUGGGCGUAAAGAGCUCGUAGGCGGUUUGUCGCGUCUGCCGUGAAAUCCCGAGGCUCAACCUCGGGUCUGCAGUCGAUACGAGCAAACUAGAGUGUUGCAGGGGAGACUGGAAUUCCUGGUGUAGCGGUGAAAUGCGCAGAUAUCAGGAGGAACACCGGUGGCGAAGGCGGAUCUCUGGGCCAUUACUGACGCUGAGGAGCGAAAGCGUGGGGAGCGAACAAG
rnacentral:rRNA from 1 species